rnacentral:rRNA from 1 species
GACGAACGCUGGCGGCGUGCUUAACACAUGCAAGUCGAACGGAAAGGCCUGUCCUUCCUUGUGUUGGACGGGUACUCGAGUGGCGAACGGGUGAGUAACACGUGAGUGAUCUGCCCCCAACUUGGGUAUAAGCCUGGGAAACUGGGUCUAAUUCCCGAUAGGACUGCAGGGUGGUGCCUGUGGUGGAAAACGAUUUUCUAGUGGUUGGGGAUGAGCUCGCGGCCUAUCAGCUUGUUGGUGGGGUAAUGGCCUACCAAGGCGGCGACGGGUAGCCGGCCUGAGAGGGUGGACGGCCACAUUGGGACUGAGAUACGGCCCAGACUCCUACGGGAGGCAGCAGUGGGGAAUAUUGCACAAUGGGCGGAAGCCUGAUGCAGCGACGCCGCGUGGGGGAUGACGGCCUUCGGGUUGUAAACUCCUUUCGACCGCGAGGAAGCCGCCUGGUGGGAAGGGUGGUGACGGUAGUGGUAGAAGAAGCACCGGCUAACUACGU